UACCUACGGGGGGCAGCAGUGGGGGAUAUUGCACAAUGGGGGAAACCCUGAUGCAGCGACGCCGCGUGAGUGAAGAAGUAUUUCGGUACGUAAAGCUCUAUCAGCAGGGAAGAAUAAUGACGGUACCUGACUAAGAAGCCCCGGCUAACUACGUGCCAGCAGCCGCGGUAAUACGUAGGGGGCAAGCGUUAUCCGGAUUUACUGGGUGUAAAGGGAGCGUAGACGGCUGUGCAAGUCUGGAGUGAAAGGCGGGGUCCCA
rnacentral:rRNA from 1 species